rnacentral:sRNA from 1 species
GAUGUGUCGAGCACCUCAGAUGAGGUGGU